AUGGCAGCCCUAACAAGCCUCAUGACCCGCUUUUGUGCGGGCGAGGAAAACUGGUUGGCCCGUAGCAGCACCAGCGACCCAAGCACAUCCGAAGUCAGGGAUGGCAAUGGUAAACCACGACGCAACAAAAACAAGCGUCGAAAUAAAGAAGGUAGCCCAGAUAACACGGCGGUAAACGCCGGAUUCAGGGGCUCCCGACCAGGUCAGCGGAAAAAGCCUUUCAAAGGCAGCAGAGAAGGACAAUCUGGCCUAAACAAAAUUCUUGACAAACUCUGUCAGAUUCACGGCACCCCAGACAAACCUGCCAAUCAUACCUACAGAGAAUGUUAG
rnacentral:rRNA from 1 species